UUUAAAUUGAGAGUUUGAUCCUGGCUCAGGAUGAACGCUGGCGGCGUGCUUAACACAUGCAAGUCGAGC
rnacentral:rRNA from 1 species